rnacentral:lncRNA from 1 species
CUAAGCACUAAGCAACAGACUCAUCCAAAGCAAUUCCUUGUCUGAGUCAAGGCCAUGUCAAUGUAUUAACACUCUGUUUACUUCAGACCAAAGUUCAGAUGAAUCAGAGAACAUCCAUGUGCCUCUGACUUCCACUUCAUGAUGCUCCUUUGGUUUAGUUAUUGAGGGAGACCCUGGCCCAGAAAACUCUAAGGAUUGAUUGCUCUUGAAGGCACAAGAAAUCACAAUUGCAAUUACCUGGCCCCAGAAGAUAUGUGUGGAUGUUGGUUUUCUGCGUGGGGCAAGGCACUUUGUUGGCUGUAAUACAACAUACCAGCACCGGAAUUUGAGGUGCAAACUCCUCCCAGGCUACAGGAUCAGAACUGCAGUCUCUAAAACAAAACAAAACAAAACAAAACAAAAACAGAAAAGCAAACCUAUGGACGCUAUCAGCUUGCAGCUGAUUCCCUGUAUGGUCACUGGGAAGCUAAGGUCAAGCUGUCAGACCACUGCCAACAGCUGCAGAAGGAGGGCACAGGUGCUGUUCCGAUGGGCCUUGUUCGCAGUGAAGGUCUCACUAGCAGUAAACAUACGAGCUUUGACAAGAGGAGUGUAAAUAGACUCAUAAUUCGUGACCUCACUAAUUUUUUAUGGCUAACUACGCAUCUGAGAUGUCACCAUAAUAUUGUUCAAAAUGUAAGACUUCCUAUUAAAAUGGGAAUUUGAAAAC